rnacentral:lncRNA from 1 species
GCAGGGAGCCCUGAAUUCCUCCAGCCCACAGAGGGGGACAGACAAUGUCUCAGCAAAGCAUACCCGGGCGCCUUUAGCUUUCACGCACCACGAAGGGUCAGAUAGGAAGGGACAGUUUCACGCAGGGCCUUUAACCAUAUCGCACCCUUUCGUGAUAGUUGAGGCCCUGGCUUCAGAGACUGGACAGUUUGUGAUCAUGAUCUGAUGAAGCUUGUGAGCGUGUAGAGUGCAAUAGUCCAUCGGGGGCUCCUUGGUCUCUGCUUCCUGACUGCUGCUUAUCUAACUCCCAUUUCCCUCGCUGUCACUCUCUCACAGUGUCUGAAUUUCUGUUCAGAGGCCACCAUUCCUCCCCAACGCAGCCCACAGACUUCCCAGCAGCUGGCCCUUGCUCAGAAGGUCCUGAAGGGUCUAAGAUUGACAAAGUUCAGAUACAGAUACACCAAUCAGCACUGAGGACUCCCUGGACACUGGACUUUUUCUAGGAAUGGAACACAACACAGCUCAGACCACUGGCAGGAAUUUAGCCAGAUGCAGCUGUGGAGAAGUGGGGCCAGAGUUCCUGGAUCAAGCCAAUCCUGAGGCCCACGUACUUCUGGAUGUCCAGGUCCAAGAACCAAGGAAAACCUUUCGUUUGAGCCACUUGGAUUUGAGUUUGUUGUUGUUUAUAAUACCUUCAAGCCCCUGAGUCAUCAGUGUUUGUGACAUCACCAAAACAAACAGGUUUAGAAUGGUGACAGGCUCUCCCUCCAGAUGGCACGUUGUUUAGAUUGCUUCUGACUUAAGCAGCAGAAUCAUCUGAGGAGCCCUCACUGCUCACCUGCCAUGCUUGGGGAAUUCCAGGGAGCCUAUGGCUUACCUGACCCCUUGUCAGAGCUGUGAAGAAGAGUGACACCACUCGACUCUACUCCAGACAAGACUCAAGGAGAAAAAGCUAUCUCCCACAUGUCAGGGAAACCCCUUAGAAUUCAGCUCACUGAGAAAAGAAAGGAGAUACAUGUCAUGGGGGUGCUCCCUGGGUUCCCAAUUUUCCACCCAAUGGGGUGGGUAGAAAAUCAUACAUACCACAGUCUACGUUCAAUUUAUGAAUAAUUGACCACAGCAUCCAUAUAGGCUCCUGAGGAAGAGCUCAGACCAGGGGUUCCAUUUUGUAGCAAGGAAGGUGACACUGAACCCUAGACCAUGGGAUCCACUUUUUCUGCCUCUAACUACAUCUCUCCAGCUGAUAGAAUGGCC